AACAAACGCUGGCGGCGUGCCAAACACAUGCAAGUCGUACGAGAAAGGGUCCUUCGGGGCCUGAGUAAAGUGGCGCACGGGUGAGUAACGCGUGGAUAAUCUGCCCUUCAGUUGGGAAUAACUCAUCGAAAGGUGGGCUAAUACCGAAUAAUGCUGUGAGACCUCGGUUGAUCAGCCAAAGAGAGCCUCUGCUUGCAAGCCCUCGCUGAAGGAUGAGUCCGCGUACCAUUAGCUAGUUGGUAGGGUAAUGGCCUACCAAGGCCACGAUGGUUAGCUGGUCUGAGAGGAUGAGCAGCCACACUGGAACUGAGACACGGUCCAGACUCCUACGGGAGGCAGCAGUGAGGAAUCUUGCGCAAUGGGGGCAGCCCUGACGCAGCAACGCCGCGUGAGUGAGGAAGGUCUUCGGAUCGUAAAGCUCUGUCGGAUGGAAAGAACCGCAUAGGGGUAAACAGCCCCUGUGUCUGACGGUACCAUCAAAGGAAGCACCGGCUAACUCCGUGCCAGCCGCCGCCGUAAGAC
rnacentral:rRNA from 1 species